rnacentral:sRNA from 1 species
GGUUUAAAAGUAUUUCCAUUUGAGUGGGGUACACAUGGAUUUGAAAGCUGAUGGACAAAUAUAUAUAAAUUAGAUUUUAACCCGCGGUAUACCGCGGGACGAUUUAUUUUUUUAAAGUAAUAUAUAUUAAA